GAGUGGUGUAAUGGUUUCGGCGUCGACCUUCGAUGCGAGCGGUAACUGGUUCGAUUCCCUCUG
rnacentral:tRNA from 1 species